rnacentral:misc_RNA from 1 species
UAUUCAAAUCUUCAAAAUCAAUUCCGGUGUUCUUUAAAAACUGAUUGAGAUCAGAAACUUUCCUCUUCAUGAAAAACGUGAAAAUAAAUUCCCAUUUUCCAGCAUUAAUUCCAUACUCAUCAGUGUACGACCCAAUUAGUGUAUAUUGAAAACUCAUUCCAGCGUUGAGGAUUGUUACAUAGUAAUCCAGGGAACUCGUUGCCCAUGGAAACCAUCCGGUGUUGAUAAAAAGCUGCAUCGAUAAUGUGAAGCUCUGCCAUGAAAUUGGAAGCCCCCUAAUCUGUCACAUUGCUCAGUUAUUAGCUUGUUGCUUUGUUGCUUUCUUGAAGAGCUUGGCUUGUUCUUUGAAAGAAGACGUUCCAUUCUUGUUGUUAUUAUUAUUACAACGUAAGAUAUCUCAUUUUGUAUGAACCGCCAAAAAGGAUCGAAAGACAGACCACAAGAUGGCGAAUUUGAUGGUCUCCACAAACCAAGCGACGGGAACACAAUUUCCCUAUGAAGAAAGGAAACAAGAAAAUUCCACAAUAUUUUCUUCUUUUCUUUUCCCUUCCCUUUCAAUUCUUCCAUUUUCGCCAAGAAUAAUCAUAACGUUCUUUUGUCAUCUAGAUUGGAAGAUUAUUCUGACGGUGAUUUAUGUGAAUCUGGUGCUGCAUUGGAGUCAGAAUCGUCCCUCUGGGAAUUAGAAUGGCAUUACCAGUGAACAUUGAAAUUGGUUCCCAUAUUUGGGUUGGAGAUCCCGAGCUAGCAUGGUUAGAUGGAGUUGUUUUUAACAUUAAAGGAGAAGAUGCUGAGAUUCAGACCAGUGAUGGAAAAACUAUUGUUGCAAAUUUGUCAAGAGUGUAUCCAAAAGACGCGGAAGCUCCUGAAGGUGGGGUUGAUGACAUGACUAAGCUGCUAUAUUUGCAUGAGCCUGCAGUUUUGCACAAUUUGUCAACGAGACAUGAAAUUAAUGAAAUCUAUACUUAUACUGGAAACAUUCUUAUUGCUGUCAACCCAUUCCAAGGGCUUCCACAUUUAUACGAUGCUCACAUGAUGGAACGAUACAAGGGAGCACAAUUAGGAGAACUAAGCCCUCACGUUUUUGCAAUUGCUGAUGUUGCAUAUAGGGCAAUGGUUAACGAGGGUAAAAGCAACUCAAUUUUGGUCAGUGGGGAAAGUGGGGCUGGCAAAACUGAAACCACUAAAAUGCUUAUGCGCUACCUUGCACAUUUGGGUGGCCAUAAUGCUUCUGAAGGACGAACAGUUGAACAACAAGUCCUAGAAUCAAAUCCAGUUCUUGAAGCAUUUGGCAAUGCCAAAACUGUUAGGAACAACAACUCAAGUCGCUUUGGUAAAUUUGUUGAGAUCCAAUUUGACAAGAAUGGGAGGAUUUCCGGGGCAGCUAUACGAACUUAUUUGCUUGAGAGGUCUCGGGUUUGCCAAAUUUCUGAUCCUGAAAGAAACUAUCAUUGUUUCUACCUUCUUUGUGCAGCUCCACCUGAGGAAAGAGAGAAGUACAAGUUGGAAUACCCUAAGUCUUUCCAUUACUUGAACCAAUCCAACUGCUAUCAGCUGGAUGGAGUAAAUGAUGCUGAGGAAUAUCUUGCAACUAGAAGGGCAAUGGAUGUAGUUGGCAUCGGUGAAGAAUCACAGGAAGCUAUUUUUAGGGUUGUAGCUGCAAUUCUGCAUCUUGGAAACAUUGAAUUUGCAAAGGGAGUGGAGAUAGACUCUUCUGUUAUCAAGGAUGACAAAUCUAGAUUUCAUCUUAAUAUGACAGCAGAGCUGCUCAAGUGUGAUGCCAAGAGCUUGGAAGAUGCACUGAUAAAACGUGUUAUGGUAACUCCAGAAGAGAUUAUCACAAGGACUCUUGAUCCUGUUGCUGCAGUGGUUAGCAGGGAUGCCUUGGCUAAAACUAUUUAUUCCCGUUUGUUUGAUUGGCUUGUGGAUAAAAUUAAUAGUUCAAUUGGGCAGGAUCCCAACUCAAAACAAUUAAUUGGAGUUCUGGAUAUAUAUGGUUUUGAAAGUUUUAAGUUCAAUAGGUAAGCCUCCUUUUUUUCUCCCCCUGGCAAAACAGGUAAGUCUUUAACUUUAGAUGUUAUUUGCUAUACAACAUUUUUCCUUAAUGUUCACUAUUUUGCCUUUCUAUACAGUUUUGAGCAGUUUUGCAUAAAUUUUACAAAUGAAAAACUGCAGCAGCAUUUCAAUCAGCAUGUCUUUAAAAUGGAGCAGGAAGAAUAUACAAAAGAAGAAAUAAAUUGGAGCUACAUAGAAUUUGUUGAUAACCAAGAUGUGCUAGAUCUGAUUGAGAAGAAACCUGGGGGAAUUAUAGCACUUCUAGAUGAAGCCUGCAUGUUUCCUAAAUCGACGCAUGAAACUUUUGCUCAGAAGUUGUACCAGACAUUUAAAAACAACAAGCGCUUUAUCAAACCUAAACUUUCCCGUACUAGUUUUACCAUAUCUCACUAUGCAGGGGAGGUAACUUAUCAGGCAGAUCAGUUCCUUGACAAGAACAAAGAUUAUGUAGUGGCAGAACAUCAGGAUCUUCUGACAGCCUCAAAGUGCUCCUUUGUGGCUGGUCUCUUUCCUCCACCUCCAGAGGAAUCAUCAAAAUCCUCUAAAUUUUCUUCCAUUGGGUCACGCUUUAAGCUACAACUCCAAUCUUUGAUGGAGACCUUGAAUUCAACUGAGCCCCAUUACAUCAGAUGUGUGAAGCCAAAUAAUGUACUCAAGCCUGCAAUUUUUGAGAAUGGUAACAUCAUCCAGCAACUACGUUGUGGUGGUGUUCUUGAGGCAAUAAGAAUCAGUUGUGCUGGAUAUCCUACAAGACGAACAUUCUACGAGUUUCUCCUCCGUUUUGGUGUUCUUGCUCCGGAAGUUUUGGAAGGAAAUCAUGAUGACAAGGUUGCUUGCCAAAUGAUUCUGGAUAAAAUGGGAUUGAAAGGUUAUCAGAUAGGCAAGACAAAGGUUUUCCUUAGAGCUGGUCAGAUGGCUGAACUGGAUGCAAGAAGAGCAGAGGUGCUUGGAAAUGCAGCUAGAACCAUUCAAAGACAAAUUCGCACGUAUAUUGCACGCAAGGAGUUUAUUGCAUUACGGCAAGCUGCUAUUCACUUGCAAUCUCAUUGCCGGGGUGUAUUGGCUCGCAAAAUAUUUGAGCAGUUGCGGCGGGAAGCAGCAGCUUUGAAGAUUCAGAGGAAUUUCAGACGAUAUACUGCCAGGAAAUCCUACCUGACUCUAUAUUUGUCUGCAGUCACAUUGCAGACUGGCUUAAGGGCAAUGACUGCUCGUGAUGAAUUCAGGUUCAGAAAACAAACUAAAGCUGCAAUUGUUAUCCAGGCACAAUUGCGUCGCCAUAUAGCAUAUUCUUAUUAUAAGAGGCUUCAGAAGGCUGCAUUAGCUUCUCAAUGUGGCUGGAGGGGAAGAGUUGCUCGGAGAGAGCUUAGAAAGCUUAAAAUGGCUGCAAGGGAAACGGGUGCUCUUAAAGAAGCAAAAGACAAAUUAGAGAAGCGUGUGGAAGAGCUGACAUGGCGGUUGCAAUUUGAGAAGAGAUUGAGGACUGAUUUGGAAGAGGAAAAGGCACAAGAAAUUGCCAAGUUACAGGAUGCUUUGCAUGCAAUGCAAAUACAAGUAGAAGAAGCAAAUUCCAGAGUUAUCAAAGAACGAGAGGCAGCUCGAAAAGCUAUUGAAGAGGCACCUCCGGUCAUUAAGGAGACCCCUGUUCUUGUUCAAGAUACAGAAAAGGUUGAACAAUUAACGACCGAGGUGGAGAGUUUGAAGGCUUCACUGCUAUCAGAAAGACAGGCAGCAGAAGAAGCAAGGAAAGCAGGUAAAGAUGCUGAGGCCAGAAACUCGGAACUAAGCAAGAAACUGGAAGAUUCACAGCAAAAGGUGGAUCAACUUCAGGAAUCAGUGCAGAGGUUAGAGGAGAAACUUUCCAACUCAGAGUCCGAGAAUCAAGUUCUUCGUCAGCAAGCACUAACCAUCUCACCAACAGGGAAACCCUUGUCUGGACGGCCAAAAUCAAUAAUUUUACAGAGGACCCCGGAGAAUGGAAAUGUUGCAAAUGGAGAACCGAGGGUAGCAUUAGAUAUGAUGGUUGCUGUAUCAAAUGCACGUGAACCUGAAUCUGAGGAAAAACCACAGAAAUCUCUAAAUGAAAAGCAGCAGGAGAACCAGGAUCUACUGAUCAAGUGUAUAUCACAAAACUUGGGAUUCUCUGGGGGCAAACCAGUUACUGCUUGCAUUAUAUAUAAAUGUCUUCUCCACUGGAGGUCA